rnacentral:rRNA from 1 species
ACUACGGGGGGCAGCAGUGAGGAAUAUUGGUCAAUGGACGAGAGUCUGAACCAGACAAGUAGCGUGAAGGAUGACUGCACUAUGGGUUGUAAACUUCUUUUAUAAAGGAAUAAAACGAGGCACGUGUGCCUUUUUGCAUGUACUUUAUGAAUAAGGAACGGCUAACUCCGUGCCAGCAGCCGGUGUAAUACGGAGGAUCCGAGCGUGAUCCGGAUUUAAUGGGUUUAAAGGGAGCGUAGAUGGGUUGUUAAGUCAGUUGUGAAAGUUUGCGGCUCAACCGUAAAAUUGCAAUUGAUACUGGCAGUCUUGAGUACAGUUGAGGUCGGCGGAAUUCGUGGUGUAGCGGUGAAAUGCUUAGAUAUCACGAAGAACCCCGAUUGCGAAGGCAGCUUACUAAACUGUGACUGACAUUGAUGCUCGAAAGUGUGUGUAUCAAACAGGAUUAGAUACCCGUGUAGUC